rnacentral:lncRNA from 1 species
AUAGUAGAGGGGCAUUAUGUUUUCUGGUCUGUGCCUCCGUUCGUUCGUCUGUUCGUUCAUCCCGCUUCAGGUUAAAGUUUUUGGUCGAGGUAGUUUUUGAUGAAGUUGAAGUCCAAUCAAUUUGAAACUUAGUACACAUGUUCCCUAUGAUAUGAUCUUUCUAAUUUUAAUGUCAAAUUAAAGUAUUGACCCCAAUUUCAUG